rnacentral:rRNA from 1 species
AUUGAACGCUGGCGGCAUGCUUUACACAUGCAAGUCGAACGGCAGCACGGGUGCUUGCACCUGGUGGCGAGUGGCGGACGGGUGAGUAAUGCAUCGGAACGUGUCCUGAAGUGGGGGAUAACGCAUCGAAAGAUGUGCUAAUACCGCAUAUUCUCUGAGGAGGAAAGUAGGGGAUCGAAAGACCUUAUGCUUUUGGAGCGGCCGAUGUCUGAUUAGCUAGUUGGUAGGGUAAUGGCUUACCAAGGCGACGAUCAGUAGUUGGUCUGAGAGGACGACCAGCCACACUGGGACUGAGACACGGCCCAGACUCCUACGGGAGGCAGCAGUGGGGAAUUUUGGACAAUGGGCGCAAGCCUGAUCCAGCAAUGCCGCGUGAGUGAAGAAGGCCUCGGUUGUAAGCUCUUUCAGUUGAGAAGAAAAAGUACGUAGACUAAUAAUACAUGAUUCAUGACGGUAUCAACAGAAGAAGACA